CUACGGGGCGCUGCAGUGGGGAAUAUUGCGCAAUGGGGGCAACCCUGACGCAGCCAUGCCGCGUGAGUGAAGAAGGCCUUAGGGUUGUAAAGCUCUUUCACCCGUGACGAUGAUGACGGUAGCGGGAGAAGAAGCCCCGGCUAACUCCGUGCCAGCAGCCGCGGUAAUACGGAGGGGGCUAGCGUUGUUCGGAAUUACUGGGCGUAAAGCGCACGUAGGCGGCUUGUUUAGUUGGGGGUGAAAGGCCUGGGCUUAACCUGGGAACUGCCCUUAAUACUGAUGGGCUUGAGACCGAGAGGGGGUGGUGGAACUCCCAGUGUAGAGGUGAAAUUCGUAGAUAUUGGGAAGAACACCGGUGGCGAAGGCGACCACCUGGCUCGGAUCUGACGCUGAGGUGCGAAAGCGUGGGGAGCAAACAGGAUUAGAUACCCGAGUAGUC
rnacentral:rRNA from 1 species